rnacentral:rRNA from 1 species
GGACGAACGCUGGCGGCGUGCUUAACACAUGCAAGUCGAACGCUGAAGCUCAGCUUUUGUUGGGUGGAUGAGUGGCGAACGGGUGAGUAACACGUGAGUAACCUGCCUCCUUCUUUGGGAUAACGCCCGGAAACGGGUGCUAAUACUGGAUAUUCACUGGUCUUCGCAUGGGGGUUGGUGGAAAGGGUUUUUCUGGUGGGGGAUGGGCUCGCGGCCUAUCAGCUUGUUGGUGGGGUGAUGGCCUACCAAGGCUUUGACGGGUAGCCGGCCUGAGAGGGUGACCGGUCACAUUGGGACUGAGAUACGGCCCAGACUCCUACGGGAGGCAGCAGUGGGGAAUAUUGCACAAUGGGCGCAAGCCUGAUGCAGCGACGCCGCGUGAGGAAUGGAGGCCUUCGGGUUGUGAACCUCUUUCGCUCAUGGUCAAGCCGCAACAAUGGUUGUGGUGAGGGUAGUGGGUAAAGAAGCGCCGGCUAACUACGUG